AUUGAACGCUGGCGGCAGGCCUAACACAUGCAAGUCGAACGGUAACAGGAAGCAGCUUGCUGCUUUGCUGACGAGUGGCGGACGGGUGAGUAAUGUCUGGGAAACUGCCUGAUGGAGGGGGAUAACUACUGGAAACGGUAGCUAAUACCGCAUAACGUCGCAAGACCAAAGAGGGGGACCUUCGGGCCUCUUGCCAUCGGAUGUGCCCAGAUGGGAUUAGCUAGUAGGUGGGGUAACGGCUCACCUAGGCGACGAUCCCUAGCUGGUCUGAGAGGAUGACCAGCCACACUGGAACUGAGACACGGUCCAGACUCCUACGGGAGGCAGCAGUGGGGAAUAUUGCACAAUGGGCGCAAGCCUGAUGCAGCCAUGCCGCGUGUAUGAAGAAGGCCUUCGGGUUGUAAAGUACUUUCAGCGGGGAGGAAGGGAGUAAAGUUAAUACCUGUGCUCAUUGACGUUACCCGCAGAAGAAGCACCGGCUAACUCCGUG
rnacentral:rRNA from 1 species